rnacentral:rRNA from 1 species
AGCGAACGCUGGCGGCAGGCUUAACACAUGCAAGUCGAGCGGGCGUAGCAAUACGUCAGCGGCAGACGGGUGAGUAACGCGUGGGAACAUACCUUUUGGUUCGGAACAACACAGGGAAACUUGUGCUAAUACCGGAUAAGCCCUUACGGGGAAAGAUUUAUCGCCGAAAGAUUGGCCCGCGUCUGAUUAGCUAGUUGGUGAGGUAAUGGCUCACCAAGGCGACGAUCAGUAGCUGGUCUGAGAGGAUGAUCAGCCACAUUGGGACUGAGACACGGCCCAAACUCCUACGGGAGGCAGCAGGUGGGGAAUAUUGGACAAUGGGCGCAAGCCUGAUCCAGCCAUGCCGCGUGAGUGAUGAAGG